rnacentral:tRNA from 1 species
CCCGAGUUAGUAUAGUGGGUGGUAUUUCCGCCUGUCACGCGGAAGACCCGGGUUCAAUUCCCGGACUCAGCG